rnacentral:rRNA from 1 species
CCUACGGGUGGCAGCAGUAGGGAAUAUUCCACAAUGGGCGAAAGCCUGAUGGAGCAACGCCGCGUGGGUGAAGAAGGUCUUCGGAUCGUAAAACCCUUUUGUUAGAGAAGAAAGUACUGGGGAGUAACUGUUCACGUUUCCACGGUACCUAACCACAAAGCCACGGCUAAAUACGUGCCAGCAGCCGCGGUAAUACGUAGGGGGCAAGCUGUAUCCGGAUUUAUUGGGCGUAAAGGGAACGCAGGCGGGCUUUUAAGUCUGAUGUGAAAGCCUUGGGCUUAACCGGCGUAGUGCAUUGGAAACUGGUAGACUUGAGUGCAGGAGAGGCGAGUGGAACUCGAUGUGUAGCGGUGAAAUGCGUAGAUAUAUGGAAGAACACCAGUGGCGAAGGCGGCCCUCUGGUCUAUAACUGACGCUGAGGUGCGAAAGCGUGGGUAGCAAACAGGAUUAGAUACCCGGGUAGUC